GAUGAACGCUGGCGGCGUGCUUAAUACAUGCAAGUCGAACGAAGCACUUACGACAGAUCCCCUCGGGGUGAAGAUGUUUGUGACUUAGUGGCGGACGGGUGAGUAACGCGUGGGUAACCUGCCUCAUGCAGGGGGAUAACAGUUAGAAAUGACUGCUAAUACCGCAUAAGCGCACAGUACUGCAUGGUACAGUGUGAAAAGAUUUAUUGGCAUGAGAUGGACCCGCGUCUGAUUAGGUAGUUGGUGGGGUAACGGCCUACCAAGCCGACGAUCAGUAGCCGACUUGAGAGAGUGAUCGGCCACAUUGGGACUGAGACACGGCCCAGACUCC
rnacentral:rRNA from 1 species